rnacentral:lncRNA from 10 species
GUGCUGUUUAUACCAGAUGAAUCUACAAAGCCAAGAACAGGAAUCACCGUAUCUCCUUCAGUAGACCUGAUACUAUAUGUCAUAACACUGUCAAUGCCUGGAGGAGAGUAAAAUUCUGACUCUGACCACCAAGCUGAUCUGCACAGAAGGGGAUACAUGAUUAUUCAAAGAAUGCUAGUUGAACCCAAAAUUUCAAACUGCAGCUACAUCUAUCUAAUGUUGUUUCCUCCACCUUCAGUUUUCUCAAGCAGCGUUGUUCUGACACAAACACUGUAACCACUUUUGUGAUAUUGAGCCUUACUCUGUGUGACUCCAGACUGAGCUGAGGUGUGCUUGAAAGAACAUGGGCUUUGAAGUCAAGUGCAUCUUGUCUGUGGUGUGUUUAACAAGUAUGCCCCUCUGAGACACAGCAUCCUUAUUUGUAAAAGAAGGAUAAUAGUGCCCACUUUUCAAGAUUACUGACAUGAGUAGAUUGAGUAGCAUAUGUAAAGUGCCUUUACAUAUAGGAUAUGUCUGUUAAAUGAAUGAUC